rnacentral:rRNA from 1 species
GACGUAGGGGGCCAGCGUUGCUCGGAAUUACUGGGCGUAAAGGGUCCGUAGGCGGUGCGGUAAGUCGGGCGUGAAAUCUCUGGGCUUAACUCAGAGGCUGCUUCCGAAACUACCGUGCUAGAGUGCGAGAGAGGCAAGUGGAAUUGCGGGUGUAGCGGUGAAAUGCGUAGAUAUCCGCAGGAACAUCCGAGGCGAAAGCGGCUUGCUGGAUCGCAACUGACGCUGAGGGACGAAAGCUAGGGGAGCAAACAGG